CAUUCACAACUAUACGUGGUUUAACUUUCAGAUAAAUACUUCGUGACGGUUACUGAAAAAGAUUGUCUUCCAGUCCAUGAAAAUGUUGUAACUAAGACGGCCGGUGUCAUGCAUACCAGCUUUUUUGAUCUUGAACUUGGGGUGGACCCUGAGCGGUUUGUUCCUCCAAGGGAGUGCGAAUAGCCGUGGACGACUUAAGGAGCAUGCGCAGCUUUUCAUUGCUAAUGGAUUUGCUGAGAAGUGAUUAGCUUCAGAUCAGAGGCUUUUUUAUUUCUUUCACUGGUCAAAAAACACCAGGAAAGAAAACUCAGAAAGGAGCUUGAUUUGUAGUCAAUAGUGAAUCGUUUAAUAAACAUCGUCUGCAAAAAAAGGUA